rnacentral:lncRNA from 1 species
AUGCCCCAGGAAACAGCAGUUGCUUCAGCUUGGGUGCUGAGUGAAGAGUCCUGUGAAGCCAGCUGGAAGUCUCUCUAUAGCCUGGAGCAGAACUGCAGCUCACCCAUCUGCCCUCAUGCACGUGACCAAGAGCAGCCUCCCACCCAAAUGAGCGACUUCCUCCAAGACAGCACCAGUGGGAGCUGAAAACCUUUCAUCUUAGUCCAGAGCAACCUCUACAGACUUUGUUUCCCUCUGGAGCAAAUCAGAGCUUAACAAUUUCAAAAUCUCAGUGAUAAAGCAUCCUGAGGCCAGUGUUCAUUGUCACCUGUCUCUGUCAUCAGCACGCCGAAAAGACAAACUAUCUUGUCUGUCCUUGUUGGGAAGCAGAUGGAACAGAAAUGAGCAGAGCUGAUCACUGUUAGUGGAAGGAAUCAAUGUUCCUAGUGAGAGGCAGGCUAUUUAUGAAAUGAUUCAAGGGUUUUUCACUAAAAAAUAAAAAAGACCAGUGGCUGUUGACUUCUGCCUCUCAAGUUCUUUUUGGCUACUGGAAAACUCAAAGUCUAUGCUGGGAGGAAAAGCCAAGGUGGUAAACCCAGGAAAAAAUUAUACAGUAGUUCUAUCAUGACUAUAUUCCAAGUGCCAUAAUUAGAAACCUCUGAAAACCUCUCUCUCUCCAGCUAUGAAUUUCAAAAAUAUGAUGGAUUUAUUCUGCUCAAAUAUAACAUUCUUAAAGAUAAAACACCCUUAGGAAAUCCUAGAACAGGAAAUUAUCCAACCCCUACAAGGCAAUUAGCAGUCCAUCAAAAUUUAUUUAUUUGCUUUUCAUAAAAAAAUAACCUCAUUGUUUAUAUGACUGCAUUGAAUUUUUAUGAAGCCCAUAAUAGAAACUUUCUGACUCAUCGACAAGAGUUUGAAUUGAUUCAAAAAAUGCUGUGAUAAAAAUCUCAGCUUGGUAUUUUUGGCUCCUUAUAGAGGAGAGGAUUUCAACAAUUCUUUAAAACAAAUCCUAAAAACACAGUCCAUCACUCGAGAGUUUGAGUUUUGUAUUUUGCCAUCCUGUAUGUAGUUAAUCACAUCAUGGCAUUCUUUGUUCUACCUUGAAAUAGCCCACAAUAAUGCAAAUCACAACUACAAAAUUCAUGUAAAAAAAAAGAGUGGAGCAAAUGAAUUACGGGACUAUUGCGAGAUGGAUUUUUAACUUGUUACUGAAGCACAAAACCUGACUUGUGUCUAAGCCAGGAGCCUUU